UUUUUUUUGAAGAUUUGAGUAUUAAAGGCUGAUUUGCAGAAAUAAACAUUAAGAGUUUACUUACUGGUGUGCAGUGAGCCGUGACCAAAAGGAAAGUGAUCAGAAACACCACUUUCAUCUUUAGACUCUAUCUACCCAGGUUUGUAAAAGAUUGCUUAGAACUACUCAUCGAAAUUGAUGAGAAGACUGGUUCUCAACCCUCGAAGCUGAAUCAAUCACUUGUGAAGCUCUAAACAAACAACCCUAUAACCAAGACCCACACCCAGAGACUAUGGUCUGGGUAUGGAUGCCCAGGCACUGGUGUUUUUAAUGUGUACCCAAGGUUGAUAAACAUGAAAUUAGACAAAGCAA